CCUACGGGUAGCAGCAGUGGGGGAUAUUGCACAAUGGGGGCAACCCUGAUGCAGCGACGCCGCGUGUGGGAAGACGGUCCUCUGGAUUGUAAACCACUGUCCCCAGGGACGAAGAUGACGGUACCUGGGGAGGAAGCUCCGGCUAACUACGUGCCAGCAGCCGCGGUAAUACGUAGGGAGCGAGCGUUGUCGGGAUUUACUGGGUGUAAGGGGAGCGUAGGCGGGGAUGCAAGUUGGGGGUCAAGACUACCGUCUAAACGGGUAGUCGCACUCAAAACUGCAGCUCUUGAGUGAAGUAGAGGCAGGCGGAAUUCGUAGUGUAGCGGUGAAAUGCGUAGAUAUUAGGAGGAACACCAGUGGCGAAGGUGGCCCGCUGGGCUUUUACUGACGCUGAGGCUCGAAAGUGUGGGGAGCAAACAGGAUUAGAUACCCCUGUAGUC
rnacentral:rRNA from 1 species